rnacentral:lncRNA from 1 species
UUAUGUGGCGCCAUGGGCCCCUUGGGCUGACUCCACCAGCCCACUAAGGACUUAUGGCGCCACCUUAGUGCCUUGGGCUCACUCCCGGGUGGGUGGGCCCCUCCCGGUGAACUCCCAGAACCCAUUUGUCACACCCGGUACACUCCCGAAUUGCCCGAAACUUUUCGGUGACCAAAUGAAACCAUCCUAUAUAUCAAUCUUUGUUUCCAGACCAUUCCGGAAACCCUCGUGACGUAUGUGAUCUCAUCCAGGACUCCGAACAACAUUCAUUAAC